CUCCCUUUUCAUUUACGUAGUUACAUGGAGCUGGUAACUAUAGGUUUGCAAAGUGCAGCUCCAGAGGAGUGACUGUGGACAGAGGUGGUCUUGCACCCUGGAAGACAUGUGGUCAUCUAAAGACACUGCAGCUCUCGUAACUGUGGGGUAUCACUAGCAUCUAAUAGGUGGAGGCGGGCACAGGUUACUUUGUGAGCUAGUUAAUUCCUUGUCGUGGAGGGCUGUCCUGUACCUUGUAGGAUGUUCCACAGUAUCCCUGGCCUCUACUCACUAGAUGCCAAUAGCAAACCCUUGGUUGCAACACCAAAAAAUUUCUUCAGCAAUUGCCUAAUAUCCCGAGACAAAACCAACUUUGGUUGGUAAUCACUGCCCCAAAAAAUAUAUGACUGAAGGAAAACCUGUAUAAACAGUGGAACUUUGCUUUUAGUCACUGGCUCCUCCCACCCCAGUUUUUUUGAGACAAGGUCUCACUAUAUUCUAUGCUGGCUUUGAUCUCACCAUGUAGCCCACACUGGCCCUAGAACUUGUGGCUGUCCUCUUGCUUCAGCCUCCUGAGUGGUGGGUUCACAGGAGCCACUCCUGGCAAGCUACUUGCUUUUAGUGGACUUUACAUAUCAUUAAUUGUGAACUGGCAUGAUGACACACACGUGUAAUCCAGCACUCAGGAGGCUGAAGCAGGAGGAUCACCAGUUUAAGGUGGGACCCUGUUGGGGGAUGAACCUGUAAUAAAAUACACAAAGUUAGGUAAAUUUACUCCCCCCAAAAAUGACCUCUAUACAAAUGUUCAGACUGAAACUUGUCAUUAAUAGCAGAAUGAUCAAUAAUCAAUAGCAAAAUGGUAAAAUUACACUACUGAUAUAAUCUUUCAAUUCAUUUUGUGCUAACAAUAAAAUCUUCAAAUAGAGACUUUAUAUUUUAAAAGUUUACUUAUUUUUUGGUUUUUUGGACACAGGAUCUUACUGUGAUUCAGGGUGGUCUCAGACUCACAGCAAUCCUCAUGCCUUCAGCCUCCUGAGUGCUGGGAUUAUAGACUUGUGCCACCACCCACAGGAAGCUUCUAACAACCAACCAGAUCACUGAGAAGGAGCUUUUGUUAAUAGUAAAGGAUACAUGGAUGGUGCAACUACUCUCUUGUGUAUUCCAGCGAAGAACAAGCCUAUUAGGGUGAUACAGCUAAUGGUGAAAAAUGGAUGGUUCCAUAAUGAUGUGAAGAAGGAUACCUGUAAAAGAAGAGUUUAAAAUAUAAAAAUGUUAAAAUCUUAGAA